AUUGAACGCUGGCGGCAGGCUUAACACAUGCAAGUCGAGCGGAGAUGAGGUGCUUGCACCUUAUCUUAGCGGCGGACGGGUGAGUAAUGCUUAGGAAUCUGCCUAUUAGUGGGGGACAACAUUCCGAAAGGAAUGCUAAUACCGCAUACGCCCUACGGGGGAAAGCAGGGGAUCUUCGGACCUUGCGCUAAUAGAUGAGCCUAAGUCGGAUUAGCUAGUUGGUGGGGUAAAGGCCUACCAAGGCGACGAUCUGUAGCGGGUCUGAGAGGAUGAUCCGCCACACUGGGACUGAGACACGGCCCAGACUCCUACGGGAGGCAGCAGUGGGGAAUAUUGGACAAUGGGCGGAAGCCUGAUCCAGCCAUGCCGCGUGUGUGAAGAAGGCCUUUUGGUUGUAAAGCACUUUAAGCGAGGAGGAGGCUACCUGGAUUAAUACUCUAGGAUAGUGGACGUUACUCGCAGAAUAAGCACCGGCUAACUCUGUGCCAGCAGCCGCGGUAACAC
rnacentral:rRNA from 1 species